rnacentral:lncRNA from 1 species
ACAUGGUAGUAAGGUCGCUGCCAUCCCAGCAUCAGAUGAGGUUUAGGGUCUCUUCCAGUCCCAAGUCUCUAACGUCUAUUGAUCAGAUGUUCAUGCAGACCCUGGAUCCAAACGUCCCCUGAUAUUGUACCUGGAGUCGUAGCCCCAUCCGGCUGCCUUGACCACCUCUGCCCCUGCAGUCUACUAGUUGUCCUUGCUCUUUCAUUGCUCUCUUUCCUCAUUGACACCUUGACCAAGUCCUAGCGAUGCCCAUCGCAAGUACCGCUGUCACUGCUAAUUAAGGUUUUUCUUCUGAGCCCUGUUGUUUAGCAACUUGGAUUGCUCUUCAUCCCACAUCCCACUGGGAUCCAACUCUGAUUUCACGAAGACUUGCUCUGUUGCCAGUGGUCAUCAGCUGCAGGUCAGCUUUUGGACUGGAAAACCGCUCGAAUCACUUUGAAGUUCAUCCUCGCCACAAUCCAAUCAGGGGGAAGUCUUCGCUGCUGUUUCUCAACUAAGAAGAGCCAGAGCUGGGCCCCAGGAGGGGUGCCCGCCGACUCCAGCUGCCGUCCCAGGAACAGCACGGGCAAGUGCCGCCCGCCUGAGGCUGGAGGCUGGGAGGAGCUGCCCAGAGCGUCUGAGUACAAGAGAAGUGACGUUGUUGAGCAUGAGGGCACCUUUUGGCACCUGGCCUGCAGUGGCUGGAAUGUGACCUCUUCCUGAGACCUCAGAAUCGCCAGAACUUAAUCUUCUUCCUCCAGGGAGAGGCCAUGUAACCCUCCAGCACCUUCCAUGUCUCCGCUGCCUGGAACUGGGAACACCUUGAAGAGAACCUGUGUGGGAUGCAGGAUCCUGCCUCCCUUUUUGCUCAGAGAUCUCCUCCAAGCAGGGGGCGGCUCUCUCUCCUCCGGGCACUCAUAGCAAGCUUUACUUCACGUGGUCGGGGCACUUCACACACGGCAAGAAUGAGUUGUUUUCUCAGCUCCCUUCCUUAGGAGACCAUCAUUUUCUAAUCCCCUCCAUGUCCCCAGUGCAUGCCUAGGGCCUGGCACACAGCCCAUGCUCCUUACGGGAGCACAUGACUGAGGGGAGGAGGCAGUGGUGCACAGAGACUGUGCUGCCUUUCCCCCAUAGAGAUCUUUAAGAACACAGGUCGGCCCUCUGCCUAGGGUUUUUAGGGAUUGCCCAAUCAAUAAAUGAUGGGAAUGAUGGCCUUGAAGUCCCUCUGGAAGACAAUGCCUCGCUCAGAACUUCACACACGUCUGUUGAAUAUGCUUCAUUUGAUGAGCAUUUAUUGCAUAACUGCAACGGGCCAGGAUGUCUCUCUAAGAAGGAGAGAAACCUCUCCACAUUCACAAGGGAGAGGACUGACACAUAGCCUGGACCCUGGGGUGCUGGGCCUCUGGUCUCAGCUCUCCAGUGCGCAGAGCCUGGGGAAAUGCUGGACUUCUGGGGCUGACCAAUCAGCAAGUAGCAAGGGGGACCUUCCUUGAGAGCUCUGCUGGACAGGACCCGGGCUGCUGGGCUCAGCUUGCACAGCCAGUGCACGCGGGAAGGGGGACAUCGUCUCGGCAGGGAAGUAAACCAGCAUUGGAGUGAUUGGGGCGGGCAUGUGCUCCUCAGACACAAUUACUCUUCUCUGGCUGAGACUAAACGCUGCAGAAUGUGCCAUGUUAUUGAAGCCUAUUAAAGUAGCCCAAGCAGACCUGUGGCUGACACGACAUGGGGAAAGGGUAGGUGAUUUGCUGGGUCUCCGAAGCUCCGGACAGACGACAAUGGAAGGAUGCAUCAACGAGGAGGGUAUAACAGGAAUGAAAGCAAAGUUCUGCCCAGAAAGCCACGUGGUGGCGGGAGGCAUGGGCUCAGAGUCAAACACAUGAAGACUUUAGUGCUUCUCAUUGAUACAGUGCUUCUCACUGAGUCAGCCGUGGGGUGCGGGUGCCGUAUGAAUGAACUCAUGCUGGAGAAUGUUCAGAGUGAAGAUCCGAGCUCCUGUCAACCACUCUGGAGAGUUCUGUUCAGUCCUUGGGAACUUGAGACGUGAUUCAUCUAAUACCAGCUCGUUUGGAAACCCUCCCUCUGUUCCUUCUUCCUGUGUCACUUUCCAGUCUCUAUUGACAUCUCCCAACUAAAGG